rnacentral:sRNA from 2 species
UAGCUCAGUUGGUAGAGCAGUUGACUUUUAAUCAAUUGGUCGCAGGUUCGAAUCCUGCACGACCCACCAAUCGUUCUGGUGGAACGCGAUAGUAAAACGUGAAGGAUAACGUUGCGUCAGCAGCGGCACGUAGGGCGAGGCGAAGCCGAGUCAUCCUGCACGAGCCACCG